CAGCAGCCGCGGGAAAACAGAGGGUGCGAGCGUUAAUCGGAUUUACUGGGCGUAAAGCGUGCGUAGGCGGCUUUUUAAGUCGGAUGUGAAAUCCCUGAGCUUAACUUAGGAAUUGCAUUCGAUACUGGGAAGCUAGAGUAUGGGAGAGGAUGGUAGAAUUCCAGGUGUAGCGGUGAAAUGCGUAGAGAUCUGGAGGAAUACCGAUGGCGAAGGCAGCCAUCUGGCCUAAUACUGACGCUGAGGUACGAAAGCAUGGGGAGCAAACAGGAUUAGAUACCCGAGUAGUCCCUGUCUCUUAUAC
rnacentral:rRNA from 1 species